CUCUAGUGCAUUGUAGUUGCAUUGCAUUAGCUGUCAUAGUAUGCAAUGCAUCUGCAGUGCAAUUAGAG
rfam:Lingula anatina scaffold134, whole genome shotgun sequence.